rnacentral:rRNA from 1 species
GUCUUAAUUGGGCGUUAAGUUGCAGGGUAUAGACCCGAAACCCGGUGAUCUAGCCAUGGGCAGGUUGAAGGUUGGGUAACACUAACUGGAGGACCGAACCGACUAAUGUUGAAAAAUUAGCGGAUGACCUGUGGCUGGGGGUGAAAGGCCAAUCAAACCGGGAGAUAGCUGGUUCUCCCCGAAAGCUAUUUAGGUAGCGCCUCGUGAAUUCAUCUCCGGGGGUAGAGCACUGUUUCGGCUAGGGGGCCAUCCCGGCUUACCAACCCGAUGCAAACUGCGAAUACCGGAGAAUGUUAUCACGGGAGACACACGGCGGGUGCUAACGUCCGUCGUGAAGAGGGAAACAACCCAGACCGCCAGCUAAGGUCCCAAAGUCAUGGUUAAGUGGGAAACGAUGUGGGAAGGCCCAGACAGCCAGGAUGUUGGCUUAGAAGCAGCCAUCAUUUAAAGAAAGCGUAAUAGCUCACUGGUCGAGUCGGCCUGCGCGGAAGAUGUAACGGGGCUAAACCAUGCACCGAAGCUGCGGCAGCGAACGUAUCACCCAAGACAACUUUACGGAGUUGACGAUUGACGGAGCGAAGCGACGUCAAAGCGUUCAUUAAAGUCGAGUUGGCUUAGGGAUACGUUCGUUGGGUAGGGGAGCGUUCUGUAAGCCUGUGAAGGUGUGUCGUGAGGCAUGCUGGAGGUAUCAGAAGUGCGAAUGCUGACAUAAGUAACGAUAAAGCGGGUGAAAAGCCCGCUCGCCGGAAGACCAAGGGUUCCUGUCCAACGUUAAUCGGGGCAGGGUGAGUCGACCCCUAAGGCGAGGCCGAAAGGCGUAGUCGAUGGGAAACGGGUUAAUAUUCCCGUACUUGGUGUUACUGCGAAGGGGGGACGGAGAAGGCUAUGUUGGCCGGGCGACGGUUGUCCCGGUUUAAGCGUGUAGGUGUGUGUUCCAGGUAAAUCCGGUU